rnacentral:tRNA from 1 species
GCCGCCAUGGUGAAAUUGGUAGACACGCUGCUCUUAGGAAGCAGUGCUCAAGCAUCUCGGUUCGAAUCCGAGUUGGCGGCA